GAACGGAUGAGUCGCGGAGUCAAUCCGGUUUCGGUGCGUGUCCGGAAAUCUGCACCCCUGAGAUCACAAGAUCACACUGAAGAGUUUAGUUCAAGCGAUAAUGACUUUGGUUCUUCUACCAUGGCAGGAAGCCAGAAUCUGUGCCAUCUGACACCACCUCAAAAACAACUGGAAAUUAACAACAGAAGGCCAAUCAAAUUCCCUCAGUGAGCAGGUUCAACAUUCACCAAUGCUCUUAUGGUGGCGCAUAUGAUUGCAAGACUUGCUCCUGGGAAAGUGACAAUCACAUUGCAGUUUCUUGCCUUCGAUGCUGGGUGGCAAUCAGGCUCUACCUAGGAACUCGGCGACCGCCAUCAUGGACAGCGGGGUCGAGCGCAAGAGUGAGCUGAGGAGUCUCACACGUCUCGUCAGUGUUCUGAAGGCGAUGCCGUAUGAGGCUUCUGUAACAUCUGAACCGACGCCAAGUUGGGAGGGCUCCGAGCACUUUUCUUUGUUCUCUGAUGAACCCAAGGAGAAUCAGUCAGCAUGGCUGUAUGCUGGGGGCUUUUCUUCAAGCCCGGCAUAGAAUGUGGAUAAGUGUGCCAAGUAUGCAUGUGCAGGAACUCCUCCGUCCAAAAGACUGUUGCCCAUGCUAUGCCAACCGGGCAUAAGAUCCUUGCCAACAUUGUGAGCUGGGUAUCAAGGGAAGGCCUGGCUUUGUCACUCUAAGACGAGUCUUUGUUUAGUUCCUAACAGAGCUCCAGCAAAUGUUACUUUGCAGCUGAGGGGCGGACAGUAUGCUGAGGCUCUUAGUGUCGUUUUCUAUACUGCUCUUCCCGUUCAAUGUUGUAAUGAGAACGUUUCUCUGCUGAUUAUGGUGAUAAGAGCACGACAGCACCAGUGUUGCCUCAGUUACCUUGAAGAUGUUACUUAGUUACUUAUUACUUGACUUUGAAAGUAACUUAAGUUACUGAAUACCUGAUUUUAAAAGCAACAUAGAUAGCUAGAUAGCUAGAUAUGGAACCGAUCGAUCGAUCUUUAUUGAUCCCUGAGAGGAAAUUCAUUACAUAUAUAACAAAAUAAUAAUGUAUACAAAAUUGAUAAAACACAAUAAAAGUAAUUCUAAUCCUAAUUUGCUAACCAGAAACAGUUGUGGUUCCCUCUGUAUUUAUACCCAAAAUAAAAUUCCUGCUUGAAUUGGGGAAGAAAGCAAGUGUCUGAACAAGUGCAUUGUGAUAAAAAUUUGAAGCCCGAAGAGGUAACAAGAAGAGUGAGAGAAAUAAUACAAAAUAGUACAGCAAAAUACAGUUGUGAGACACUAUGGAAUAAAAUUAGCCAAUUGCAUAGUCA